rnacentral:misc_RNA from 1 species
CACAAUAUUACGGGGGGCCGGACCCAAACUGCUGCAGGUGCCUUUGGUAACUGUUGGCAGCUUGACCCGCCCUGUCUGAUAUUCUACCCAUGUCUUUUGCGUACUUUUCGUUUCCUCGGUGGGCUUGCCUGCCGAUAGGACAACCAAUAAAACCUUUUUGUAAUUGCAAUCAGCGUCUGAAAAAACUUUAAUAGUUA